CGGACGGGUGAGUAACGCGUGAGAAUCUACCUUCAGGACGGGGACAACAGCUGGAAACGGCUGCUAAUACCCGAUAUGCCGAAAGGUGAAAAGUUAUUUCGCCUGGAGAGGAGCUCGCGUCCGAUUAGCUAGUUGGUGGGGUAAAAGCUUACCAAGGCAACGAUCGGUAGCUGGUCUGAGAGGAUGAGCAGCCACACUGGAACUGAGACACGGUCCAGACUCCUACGGGAGGCAGCAGUGGGGAAUUUUCCGCAAUGGGCGAAAGCCUGACGGAGCAACGCCGCGUGGGGGAAGAAGGUUUUUGGAUUGUAAACCCCUUUUCUCAAGGAAGAACAAAAUGACGGUACUUGAGGAAUCAGCCUCGGCUAACUCCGUGCCAGCAGCCGCGGUAAUACGGAGGAGGCAAGCGUUAUCCGGAAUUAUUGGGCGUAAAGCGUUCGUAGGCGGCUGUUCAAGUCUGCUGUCAAAGACCGAGGCUCAACCUCGGGUCGGCAGUGGAAACUGGAUAGCUAGAGGUCGGUAGGGGCAGAGGGAAUUCCCAGUGUAGCGGUGAAAUGCGUAGAUAUUGGGAAGAACACCGGUGGCGAAAGCGCUCUGCUGGGCCGAACCUGACGCUGAGGGACGAAAGCUAGGGGAGCGAAUGGGAUUAGAUACCCCAGUAGUC
rnacentral:rRNA from 1 species